rnacentral:rRNA from 1 species
UACGAAGGGGGCUAGCGUUGUUCGGAAUUACUGGGCGUAAAGGGCGCGUAGGCGGUGUGUCAAGUCAGGCGUGAAAGCCCCGGGCUCAACCUGGGAACAGCGCUUGAGACUGGCACGCUCGAGUUCGGGAGAGGAUGGUGGAAUUCCCAGUGUAGAGGUGAAAUUCGUAGAUAUUGGGAAGAACACCGAUGGCGAAGGCAGCCAUCUGGACCGACACUGACGCUGAGGCGCGAAAGCCAGGGGAGCAAAGCGGG